AAAAACAGCUUCCUAGAACAGCUUAUGUCUAAUCAGGUGAAAGGAAGUUCAUGAAACCUGAAAUUCACUUUGACUGUGACAACAGACAGUUUCUAGGAAAAGAGAGCAAACCUAGAGACUUUUUGUGACAGCUAAGCCAGAAAAGGUAGCAGAAGAACAACCACUGGCUCCCCAGGAUAAAAACUUCUUUCAUAUUAGUCCUCACAUUUUUCUGCAUUUAGCUUUCCCCAGAUUUCCCAGCUGCACUAGACCAAUGGCUCUUAUGAGACCCAGCAUAAUCCAGCUCUGAUUUUUUACAAUACAACCAAAUAACCAAAUCCUCAUUAAUAAAGCCAG